AGGGGCGGCUCUGAGGGGUAGGCAGGUGAGGCAAUCGCCUAAGGCCCCCUAAUUAUGAAGGCCCUAUAUUAUAGCAAAAUUAAAAUUUCUUAAUUAUGAAGGUCCUAUAUUAUAGCAAAAUUAAAAUUAAGAAGAAGAAAAAAAGCCUAAAUUUUUUGAAAUAAAACUUAUUGAAAGGCCUACAAAAUAGGAACAUCUAAAAAUUAGUUUACAAAUUUGAAAUUGAAAAUAAAAAACAAAUCCUAGAAACUAGCACUAUCAAUAAUAACAGUCUAACUCUAUCGUCUCUUUUCAAAAUAAUAGCAUCAUUCCCAAUAAAUUCUUCUCCUAAAACCUAGGACCACAACUACCUACUUUAUUGCUAAUUAAGUUCUCAAAAAAUUAAAUUCUAACCCUCAUUUUUAUGACUUGCCUAAGGCCCCCAAAAAUGUUGAGCCGCCCCUGGCGAUGGGCCAAGAAUAUCCACCAUUGGACAUUCCAGCCAUCAGUUGGUGGACUUUUUUCCAUUUCAUUUUGUUGGUUGUGUCGUAGUUUAACCAUCCAUUUUCAGAACAACAAUUUGAUGUUGAGAAUUGUCCACCAGAGGAGCUUUCGGAGCAUUGCCUAUCCAUGAUGGGGCUCACUAGAUUGAUGGUCUGGAUCAAUGAAAGGUGGGCCUCUGCACAAAGUUCUGGCAUGACUAAAGUUCUGUAAGUUCGGUCCGAGCAUUCUAUCCUCCCCUUGUUCCUAUGCUUGGAGUCUUCAGUAAUGAAGCUCGAAUUGCAUCCCCUGCAUGACUUCACUUGUUUCAUUUGCUUGUGACUCACUUCAACUCCAACUCCUUUUCAAUUUUUUUUUGAGUCAUGAAAGCGGUAAAAGAAAGAGUGAAUGGGCUAUGUGUCGUUAGAUUUACACUAUGGCAAACCCCAUCAUAGGUUGUCCAUCACUGAGGGUUUUUUAAUCCUUGUGAGCACCAAACAGGCCCUCAGUCCCAUUCAAAAGAAAUUUGGAACUGAAUCAUUAAGUCAGGUAGGUUCAUAAAAAAGACAACUCCAGGUCCUGAUGUGUCAGGCCACGAAUGGUUUGCGGCCUAUAAUUCAGUGAUCCAAACCAUUGUUCUGGCAGCCCUGCCGCAUAUAGUAAGAUUCUAACCCCUUAGACCAUUGGAUUACAGAUAUAGUAAGAUUCUGAACAAGCAUACUUUGAACCUUGGAAGUAGCUGCAACCACCCACAACUUUGAAUCUAGAGAGGUUAUAUUAUUGCAUAUCAGUCCCUCAGUCCUUGUGCAGUACAUGCAUAUCUUGGCAUCAAUGUCUUUAAGAUACACAGAAUAAUUGCUAUGGACAAUGUUACCAAAGUCCUACAACUUCAUAAUUCAUCCUGUAAUUCAUUUGGAUCUCAUUAGAAACAUAAAUACCACACA